rnacentral:lncRNA from 1 species
UUUCCGCAAGUACCCGGGGGCCCUUAAAAUCACUUCCUCGCCUGGCCGCGGCCUGGUCUCCGCUUUCGUUUUGCGUCCCGCCUAAGUUCAGGGGUUUAAGGAGUGGCCGCCCGAUUUGCUCACCCUCGUAGCCGUCCAUCAUCACGCCGCUCGCAUCCAUCCUUCUUUUCAACCCCUCUCUCUCCCUGUCCCUCUUCUAAACCCUUCCUCUCUCUCUCUCUAUUAACAAAAAAACUCCAGAACCGAGGGAGACGAACCCUAGUCAAGAAUCAAGAUGAGUUACGCCGCCUUACAAGAUGAUGCACUGGGCCGACCGGGAUCGAGAACUGCGCCGCUGGAUUCAUCACCCACUCGCUGGUGGACUUCGCCGCCCAGAUCGCCCCCAUCCAAGNNNNNNNNNNNNNNNNNNNNUUUGUCUCACCCUCCGUAGCCGUCCCACUCAUCACGCCGCUCGCAUCCACUCCUUCCUUUUCUAACCCCUACCUCUCUCCCUCGUCCCUCCUUCUAACCUUACCUCUCUCUCUCUCUAUUCAAAAAAAAACUCCAGAACCAGGGAGAGAAACCCUAGUCAAGAAUCAAGAUGAGUUACGCCGCCUUCAAGAUGAUGCACUGGGCCACCGGGAUCGAGAACUGCGCCGCUGGAUUC